rnacentral:lncRNA from 1 species
GAGAUAUCAAAAUGGAAAAAUCGGUGCAAAAUAGGCCAGAACAGGCCAAAAGGCACUGUAUUUGACAGGGAACAAUGAAUGACUGGCAUCACUGAAGCGGGGUUGCUUGCUCUGCCCCUUUAGAGUGGCCACGGGGUCUGGCUGAGCUCCAGGGCAGAUGGUGGCAGUGUUUCCAGAUGUCUUGGCCAGACUUACCCAUAGUGCUUGACCCAAUGCCUUUAAAGUUGUGGGUACUUAGCAGGCAAUUGCAGAUUUAGUUGAAAUGUUACUAGAUUCAUAACACAUUCUCCCUCUUUGCUGGGGAGUGCUCUGAUAUUGUUUCAGGUUUCAUCUUCCUCUGAGGGGGUCUGUGAUGCUAGGAAGGGCAAGGGUCUCUAUCAGUCUACACCUAGCACAGUUAUUCCCUCCUCCUGUCAUUGAAUUGUUUAGGAAGUGCUGGGGACCCAGGCAUGGCAAAUGAGACCUGAGGAGAACUUUGCUGCAGGAUCCUGAAGUAAU